ensembl:lncRNA
CCGUUCCCGAGGUGGUGUCCUUGUCCAAUGCCGUUCCUGAGGCCAUUCCUGAUGCCGUUCCUGAGGCCAUUCCCGAGGCGGUGCCCGAUGCUGUUCCGGAGGCCGAUGCGGGGCCCGAGAUGGUUCCGGAGGCGAUACCCGUGUCCAAGGCCGUUCCCGAUGCCGUUCCCAAUGCCGUGACCUGGCCACAGCCUGCUCCUUACUGGCUCCCCGAUUGGCAGGUUCCGUUCGGGCCACUCAAAUGGCGAAUUCCUCCCUGGCCGUCUGCACAACGAGAAUGGACUGAUCCACCGUGGCCACCUGAACUGCCUGGUCCCUCGUGGUCCCCUGAACUUUCGGGUCCACCGUGGCCACCUGAACUGCCUGGUCCCUCGUGGUCCCCUGAACUUUCGGGCCCACCAUGGCCCCCUGAUCUGACCGAGCC